CUAAGAGCAUCAUUCAAGCCUGAAGCAAUUUCACGAACCAAAUUGAAGCAUCAGAUGUCUCAACCAGAAAAAUGGGGACAAUUGCCAAUACACAGAAUGAUAUGGAGAAGAAUGUGUGCAUGAAGUAUUUUCCUGUGUAUGCACAAAUACUGAUAGGAUGGAGGCAGCUAAUAAGUGCAUCCAAUAACCAUCAUAUAUAUAUUUUAUAGGAUUAAAGUGCAGAUGCACCCUUGAAGUAGAGGUCUCGAUCUUGGAUCAAAUACCCCCCAUAGUCCAAAAAUGGUACAAUUAAACCCAGCGAGUUAACGGUCGUUACGCGUCCGUUACCUUUGAGAUUUGGUUGAAGCGAGGAAGGUGUUCGACGAAAUGCCUGAGAGAAAAGUGAAAGUUCCGGCGAAGUCAUAUUCAACUCCGAUGACCAAAUGUGGAUGAAAUUGAUAUUUUAAGAACUUUAAUUUAAUGAAGUUAAUUGCAAAGAGUGUUUUGGAUGUUUAAAAUAAUGGUCCAUUUCUUUAGAAUAUAUCCAAUUGCUGCAUAAC